UCUGGAGGGCUAUCAACAAGGAGUGAUUCAUGACUGGGGUGAAGUCGUAACAAGGUAGCCCUAGGGGAACCUGGGGCUGGAUCACCUCCUUAUACGA
rnacentral:rRNA from 1 species